GACGGAGGGGGCUAGCGUUGUUCGGAAUUACUGGGCGUAAAGGGCGUGUAGGCGGCCAAGUAAGUCAAGUGUGAAAUCCCUUGGCUCAACCAAGGAACUGCGCUUGAUACUGUUUGGCUUGAGUACGGGAGAGGAGAGUGGAAUUCCCAGUGUAGCGGUGAAAUGCGUAGAUAUUGGGAGGAACACCCGUGGCGAAAGCGACUCUCUGGCCUGAUACUGACGCUGAGGCGCGAAAGCUAGGGGAGCGAACGGGAUUAGAUACCCCUGUA
rnacentral:rRNA from 1 species